rnacentral:rRNA from 1 species
AGAGUUUGAUCCUGGCUCAGAAUGAACGUUGGCGGCGUGGAUUAGGCAUGCAAGUCGAACGAUUCAGCGGGCAACUGCUGAAGAGUGGCGAAAGGGGCAGUAAGGCAUGGGUAACUUACCGCGGGGUUGGGUAUAGCCGUUCUAACGAACGGGUAAUCCCCAGCGAUGUGAUUGAGAGACAUCUCUUGGUCAUCAAAGAUUUAUCGCCCUGUGAGAGGCCCAUGUAGUAUUAGCUAGUUGGUGAGGUAAUGGCUCACCAAGGCCGAGAUGCUUAGCGGGUGUGAGAGCACGACCCGCGCCACUGGCACUGAGACACUAGCCAGACACCUACGGGUGGCUGCAGUCGAGGAUCUUCGGCAAUGGACGCAAGUCUGACCGAGCGACGCCGCGUGAGCGAUGAAGGCCUUCGGGUUGUAAAGCUCGAAAGUGGGGAGAAAAGGCAACUUGAUCUAUCCACAGUAGC